rnacentral:rRNA from 1 species
UUCCAGACUCCUACGGGAGGCAGCAGUGGGGAAUAUUGCACAAUGGGGGAAACCCUGAUGCAGCGACGCCGCGUGAGCGAUGAAGUAUUUCGGUAUGUAAAGCUCUAUCAGCAGGGAAGAAGAUGACGGUACCUGACUAAGAAGCCCCGGCUAACUACGUGCCAGCAGCCGCGGUAAUACGUAGGGGGCAAGCGUUAUCCGGAUUUACUGGGUGUAAAGGGAGCGUAGACGGCGAUGCAAGCCAGAUGUGAAAGCCCGGGGCUCAACCCCGGGACUGCAUUUGGAACUGUGUGGCUGGAGUGUCGGAGAGGCAGGCGGAAUUCCUAGUGUAGCGGUGAAAUGCGUAGAUAUUAGGAGGAACACCAGUGGCGAAGGCGGCCUGCUGGACGAUGACUGACGUUGAGGCUCGAAAGCGUGGGGAGCAAACAGGAUUAGAUACCCUUGUAGA